rnacentral:lncRNA from 1 species
GUUAAAAUGGGUGCCACGGUGCCACCGCCUGUCACCCAGCCCUUCAUCCGUUGACGCCACUUGUACUUAUCAAGUAUGCAUUUUUGGGAACUCCUGGCACAGUAAGAUCAAGCUGUUGUUUUCAUAUUUGAUGCACACUUCAAUGUUUAUAAAAGCUUUGAAUCAAUUUCUGGAAAUAAUAGUAAUGUUUAAGGGGUUUCUGAAAAAGAAUCAUGAUUCUUUUAUAAGCUAGUUUCAAGAUGAAAACCUACUCUGCUGAAUUUUGUAACAAGAUGCCAAGACUUUUGAGAACUUGUGAAGGAAAUGAAAACAUGUGGUGGUUCACUUGAAGCACAGCUGGUGAUUUAUUUUUUUUUUUAAUUUACUCUAGUAGUGUUGUUAAUUUAUUCU